rnacentral:rRNA from 1 species
AGCAGCCGCGGUAAUUCCAGCUCCAAUAGCGUAUAUUAAAGUUGUUGCAGUUAAAAAGCUCGUAGUUGAAUUUCGGGAUCAAGGAAUCGGUCAUGCCUCGGUAUGUACUGGUUUUAUUGGUUCUCACCUUCUAAAGAACCAUGAUGUCAUUCAUUUGAUGUUAUGGGGAAUUAGGACUGUUACCUUGAAAAAAUUAGAGUGUUUAAAGCAAGCUUACGCUUGAAUACAUUAGCACGGAAUAAUGAAAUAGGACAUCCGAUUCUAUUUUGUUGGUUUCUAGGAUCGAUGUAAUGAUUAAUAGGGAUAGUUGGGGGCAUUAGUAUUCAAUUGUCAGAGGUGAAAUUCUUGGAUUUAUUGAAGACUAACUACUGCGAAAGCAUUUGCCAAGGUAUGUUUUCAUUAAUCAAGAACGAAAGUUAGGGGAUCGAAGACGAUCAGAUACCGUCGUAGUCUUAACCAUAAACCUAUAGCCGACUAGGGAUCGGAUGAUGUUUAUUUUUUAGUGUACUCGAUUCGGA